ACGGGUGAGUAAUGCCUGGGAAAUUGCCCUGAUGUGGGGGAUAACCAUUGGAAACGAUGGCUAAUACCGCAUAACGUCUACGGACCAAAGAGGGGGACCUUCGGGCCUCUCGCUUCAGGAUAUGCCCAGGUGGGAUUAGCUAGUUGGUGAGGUAAUGGCUCACCAAGGCGACGAUCCCUAGCUGGUCUGAGAGGAUGAUCAGCCACACUGGAACUGAGACACGGUCCAGACUCCUACGGGAGGCAGCAGUGGGGAAUAUUGCACAAUGGGCGCAAGCCUGAUGCAGCCAUGCCGCGUGUAUGAAGAAGGCCUUCGGGUUGUAAAGUACUUUCAGUCGUGAGGAAGGCGUUGAAGUUAAUAGNNNCNNCGUUUGACGUUAGCGACAGAAGAAGCACCGGCUAACUCCGUGCCAGCAGCCGCGGUAAUACGGAGGGUGCGAGCGUUAAUCGGAAUUACUGGGCGUAAAGCGCAUGCAGGUGGUUUGUUAAGUCAGAUGUGAAAGCCCGGGGCUCAACCUCGGAACCGCAUUUGAAACUGGCAGGCUAGAGUACUGUAGAGGGGGGUAGAAUUUCAGGUGUAGCGGUGAAAUGCGUAGAGAUCUGAAGGAAUACCAGUGNCGAAGGCGGCCCCCUGGACAGAUACUGACACUCAGAUGCGAAAGCGUGGGGGAGCAAACAGGAUUAGAUACCCUGNNAGUCCACGCCGUAAACGAUGUCUACUUGG
rnacentral:rRNA from 1 species